GAAGUCCCUUCCUUCCUAACUAGUAGUCAAUUUCUGAGAGAAAGAAAGGCUGCAGGGAAGUCAAGAGACAGGAGGUCAUGACCCAGAAGACUAAAGCAGUUAAAAGCAGAUCAAGAUGGAGUGGAGAAACGCAGAAUGCUUGAAACACAGAUAAAGAUGUCCUGAGUCAGCAGAGACAGCACAGGAUUGCAGCAAAAGGGGCCUGAAGUCAGCAGUAGCAGUAGAGCAAAGCACUUUGAGAAGCCGUUCUACCAGCUGUGAUUCAGGACAACGCAUUAUACUCUGUAAUUCAGCUGGAAGAUGUGUGAGUAAAAUUUUCAAUGUGUCUGAGAGGUG